UUAAAGAAAAACGGUAAAAUAACUUACCCUUUGGAAAAGGGUAAGUUGUUUUCCAACUCCCUUGCUCCACACCGAAAACAAUUCGUUCUCUCGUCCCUUGUUCUACACCGUAAAAUUAAUCGAUCCAAUGGCCUCCUUCUAACCAGUGAGGCGGGCAGUCGUCUUCUCAGAAAUCAAAGACCGAACUUGCUCUUCUUCAUGUUGGUAAAGUCUAUCGGCGGUGCAUCGAAAAACCUUUCUAAGAGGAUUGUAUGAGGAAUCUGAGCCUUAUUCGAUAACAUCAAUGCUUACACAACGAGAAGAGAGAGAAGAAGCUAGAGAAUGGGCUACUAAGAGAGAUGAAAUUGCACAAGCUAUGUGGAGUGAU